AAAGGGUGCGUAGGCGGCCUGUUAAGUCAGGGGUGAAAGACGGUGGCUCAACCAUCGCAGUGCCUUUGAUACUGACGGGCUUGAAUGCAGCUGAGGUAGGCGGAAUGUGGCAAGUAGCGGUGAAAUGCAUAGAUAUGCCACAGAACACCGAUUGCGAAGGCAGCUUACCAAAGUGUGAUUGACGCUGAGGCACGAAAGCGUGGGGAUCAAACAGGAUUAGAUACCCCGGU
rnacentral:rRNA from 1 species